AGGGGGAGGAGCCGAAGCGGACGCUGCCGGGAGCGUGCGUCGUGACGUCAUCAAAAGAACUCUUAUAUACAGGAGCCCAGGCACCAUACUGUCUUUUCGAGGUAGGAGUCGACUCCUGUGAGGUAUGUUUUAUCUUUGCGAAUGUUGCGGGUUUUGGGGCGCUCCAGCCUUUGUCUGCUAAGGUCACCCUGAAUUGACUGGGACUUCUAAGCCAGUCGCGCGCCUUUGCAGGGCCUACAAGUUGAGGAUGGUGGGGGAUUGCACAUAUGGUGCAUGCGUGACCUAAGCUGCGACUAUGUUAGAGUAGAACUGCGGAGAAGCCUCGGCUCUCGUGCCCUGCCUCUGAUGAAGCCUGUGUUGGUAGGGACAUCUGAGAGUAAUGAUGAAUGCCAACCGCUCUGAUGGUGGCACAUGCCGAGUCACCCGAGUAAGCUAUUGUUAAGGGCCGUGACCCGAGCCUCCAUCAGCCGUCCGCUCUCAUGAAAGGCUGUCGGUGGUAGUCCACGUGCUUAAGUGCCUGCAUUCCGCAGUGUCACCAAUAUUUCCAUUAGUGUUUCUUUUUUCUUUUUUGAGACCGAGCCUCGUUCUGUCACCCAGGCUGGAAUGCAGUGGCUCGACAUCGGUUAAUGGCAACCUCCGCGUCCCGAGUUAAGCAGUUCUGCCUCAGCCUCCCAAGUAACUGGGACUACAGGCGCGCGCCACCAUGCUAGGCUUUUAUAUUUUUAGUAGAGACGGGGUUUCACCAUGUUGGCGAGACUGGUCUUGAACUCCUGACCUCAGGUGAUCCACCAGCCGUGGUCCCCCAACAUACUGGGAUUACAAGCCGUGAGCCACCGCGCCCGGCCGCCAUCGGUGGUUCUUAACUGCGGGUGCAGUGCUUCUUUGUAACAUUAAGUGUAUCCUUUACCUGUCGCUAGAUAAUGAAUGGUAUGUUACCUGCAUCAUUGGUUUAAAAAGACGAACCGUUUUUUUAAAGAACACUCUUUAAAAAAAAGAACCGUGGAACAAUGAAUUAAAAUCUGUACCUGAUCUCUUUAGGUAUGGUGCUGGGUGCAGAUGCAGUGUGGCUCUGGAUAGCACCUUAUGGACAGGUAAGAAUUGGGGAAAGUAUGGUGGGAAGAAUGAAAUCUAAGAGGUGGUCUCAGCCUGUGAUGCUUUAAGAGUAGUGGACAGAAGGGAUUUCUGAAAUUCUAUUCUGAGGCUUUAAUGUUAACAGCAUUUAUAUUUAACGUGACUGCUGUGAGGUUCAUUCUCACUGUUUUGCUUGCAUCUUUUUGUUUUCUAGUUGUGUCCCCAAGGAAGGAUGAGAAUAGCUACUGAAGUAAGUUGAAAAUUCCCUCUCAAAAAGGUUUAAAGCCAUUGGAUGUGCCACAAUGAUGACAGUUUAUUUGCUACUCUUGAGUGCUAGAAUGAUGAGGAUCUUAACCACCAUUAUCUUAACUGAGGCACCCAAAAUGGUGAGUUGGGGAACAUAGAGAGUACACCUAAGUUCACAUGAAGUUGUUUCUUCCCAGGUCCUAAAGAGCAAGCCUAACUCAAGCCAUUGGCACACAGGUGAGACACCUCUAUUUUGUACUUCUCACUUUUAAGGGAUUAGAAAAUAGCCAAAGCAAUGAUGAUUAUCUAUGUUAGUGCUUCUCUCCCCUCUUUUCAAAUGAGAAUUUUGCUCUCAUAUUGAUACUAAGUUUAAUACUGAAGAAAAUGUGAAAACAGAUACUAUGAUGGUUGCAUAGUUCAGCAGAUUUAAUCAUGAAGAGAUGUACUAUCUGUCUGAUGUAUCUGGGGUAGUUGUGGUUUGCUGUUAAUGGUUAAGCAGUGUACCACCAAUCUACCAUUAAAAUAUUUUUUGCUGACAAUUUUGUAUUAAAAUUACAGGCAUUAGACAGAAAGCUGGAAGUUGAAAUGGUGGAGUCCAACUUGCCUGGACCAGCUUAAUGGUUCUGCUCCUGGUAACGUUUUUAUCCAUGGAUGACUUGCUUGGGUAUGGAGAGUCGGCUUGACUACACUGUGUGGAGCAAGUUUUAAAGAAGCAAAGGUAUAGCAGUUCCAAGUAUUUUUUUUUUUUUUUUAGACAAGAGUCUAGCUCUUGCCCAGAAUGGAGUGCAGCGGCACUAUCAGUUCACUGCAACCUCUGCCUCCCAGGUUCAAGGAAUUCUCCUGCCUCAGCCUCUUGAGUAGCUGGGAUUACAGGCAUGUGACACCAUGCCUGGCUAAUUUUGUACAGCUAUGUUGUCCAGGCUGGUCUCGAACUCUUGACCUCAAGUGAUACUGCCCGCACUGACCUCCCAAAGUGCUGGGAUUACAGGCGUGAGCCACCAUGCCCCGCCUCAAGUCUGGUUUUUAAGUGUUGUAAAGCCGAUACAAUGAUGAUAACAUAGUUCAGCAGACUAACGCUGAUGAGCAAUAUUAAGUCUUUCGCUCCUAUCUGAUGUAUCUGGCGGUAACAUUCUAGUUUAUGCCCCGAAAAGGGGAAUAUAGCCAUUCUAUAAUGUUUGGAGAUUUUGGAUUACUCCUAAUUGUAUGCAAGUUGUCUUACUGUGUAUUGUCCCUUAAUUUCAGGACUCAGAAUUCAUGAUUGAAGAAAUGCAGGUUAGUUUAAACUUUGAAGGAAAUUUUUAAGGUGGCAAAAGGUUUUGGUGGCAUAUACACCUUAAUCUGUAGAUGGGAGUGAUUAGCUGUUUAAAAGUUAAAAUGUGACUGAGAAGGAAAUUGAGUAGGGCAAAUUUUAAAUGGGUAUUAUUUUUCAUCUUCAAACAGGCAGACCUGUUAUCCUAAACUAGGUGAGUCAGCUUUUGGUACAUGUGAUGAUUUUCAGUGUAACCAAUGAUGUAAUGAUUCUGCCAAAUGAAAUAUAAUGAUAUCACUGUAAAACCGUUCCAUUUUGAUUCUGAGGUUACUCUACUAACAAGCAUCACACAUUUGUAUUUUGCCCUGAUUAAUAUGUUGGCUUCGCUUUCAGGGUUUUUAAUGACCACAACAAGCAAGCAUGCAGCUUACUGCUUGAAAGGUGAGGAUUGGAAAUGUUGGGACUAUUAUAAUUGCAGAAUACAUGAUGAUCUCAAUCCAACUUGAACUCUCUCACUGAUUACUUGAUGACAAUAAAAUAUCUGAUAUUCUGCAUUCCCAUGUAGCAUUUUAAUUGAAGUCUGUAAAUGUGGCUAAAAGUCUUGUCUUAUUUUUUGAGACAGGGUCUUGCCUCACCCAAGCUAGAGUGCAGUGGCCUUUGAAGCUUACUACAGCCUCAAACUUCUGGGCUCAAGUGAUCCUCAGCCUCCCAGUGGUCUUUGUAGACUGCCUGAUGGAGUCUCAUGGCACAAGAAGAUUAAAACAGUGUCUCCAAUUUUAAUAAAUUUUUGCAAUCCAUCUGGAGUGUGUAGUGUUUACUUAAAAAAGGACAGUGCUUUUCAUCUGUUCAUUAGCUGUAAGCAUAAAUCACAUUCAAAAGCUAUUAUAACUCCAUGGUAUUUGCUUCAUUAACACUGCAGCCAGUUAAAAUUUUAUGGGUAUUUUACAAGGUGUCUUAUGCAUUAAAGUGCAAUAUUUCCUAAUUCUCCAUAUGAGCAAAUUGUCAGGUUUCAUAGGCCCCUGUGCUAAUUGGUUUUGAGCUUAAAGUAUUGAUGGAGCUACUUGGAGAAAGUCAUGUUGAGUCUGAGGCUGGGAAAAUAAGUUAUAGAAAAUACUAUAGAAAUGCCCAACUAGUGAUAGGCAUUAAUGGAAUUGGGAAAAUCUACAAUCCAUAGCCAUGGUGAUAGGUUUUUGGCAAGCACUAAGUGUUUAGGGAUGCCAAAAGUGGGUAUAAAGGGCACAACUGGUUUAAGGCAAUCUGUCCCAGGGAAACAGGACCAAGGGGCCAAAAUUCCAAGAUGGGUCAAAUUUUAAUUUCAGUGUCAGUACAGCUGUGCUUAUAAUGAUGUCUUUGUUAGCAGUAAUGGUUUUACAAAUCUGUUUCUGGGCUAAAGCACUUUAGUCCCAUUAAUGAUAAAACUUCAGUUACUCUCUGAAUUUUCCUUUUUUUGAGACUGAAUCCUGUUGCCCAGGCUGGAGUGCAAUGGCAUGAUCUCAACCGCUGCUCACUGCAACCUCUACCUCCCGGGUUCAAGCGAUUCUCUUCAGCCUCUUGUAGCUAGGACUAUAGGCACCUACCAUCACAACCAACUCAUUUUGGUAUUUUUAGUAGAGACGAAACCCCAUCCUCCCAAAGUGCUGGGAUUUCACAGGCCUGAGCCGCAGUGCCCGGCCUCCCAGGCCUUUUAUGCUUGAUGUUUUUUUCAGGGCCCUUCCCAUUGUCAUUUCACAAUCUCAUUGAAAUGUCAGCUUAUGCACUAAAUGCGUGUAAGUUGGGAAUGCCCAAUUUUGUCUAAGAAAAAAGGCCUCCCCCUCCCCCAAAUAAGCACAUUCUUUCAUUUCCUGGGGCUCACCCGAAUGUCUCACACAGGCUGUAAAACAACUACCACCACCUGGCUGGGUGCUGAGGUGGGCAGAUUACCUGAGGUCAGGAUUUCAAGACCAACCUGGCCAAUAUGGUGAAACCCCAUCUCUACUAAAAAUACAAAAAUCUAGCCGGGUGUAGUGGUGGGCUAUUGUAGUCCCAGCUAUUCGGGAGGCUGAGGCAGGGGAACUGAACCUGGGAGGCUGAGGUUGCAGUGACCCGUGAUCCUGCCACUGCACUCCAGCCUGGGUGCCAGGGUGAGACUUUCUCAAAGGAAAAAAGAAGGCUGGGCGUGGUGGUUCAUGCCUGUAAUCCCACCACUUUGGGAGGCCGAGGCGGGUGGAUCACACGGUCAGGAGUUUGAGACCAGCCUGACCAACAUAGUGAAACCCCCAUCUCUACUAAAAAUACAAAAGUUAGCCAGGUGUGGCGUGCACCUGUAAUCCCAGCUACUCAGGAGGCUGAGGCAGGAGAAUUGCUUGAACCUAGGAAGUGGAGGUUGCAGUGAACUGAGAUCAUGCCACCGCACUCCAGCCUGGGCAACGGCGAGACUUGGUCUCAAAAAAAAACACACACACAAAACUACCACCACCUACCCCAAUCGGUUACCCUUUACUUUUCAUGUGACCACCAUGACCUAUUAUGUGUUUUGUUCUUACUUCCCCCACAAGAAUGUAAGCGCUUCAAGUUUAUUCCUUAAUGUUGGAAAAAUGAAUGAAACUGCAAAUGUAGUAGAUCAGUUUUUGGGGAGGUACCAAAGACAAGUUGGUAAAAUACCUUGAUUUUGAAGUGAAAAACGAUGUUACAUUUCAAAGUAUCUUUUCGCCAGGUUAUGGCUCAGGCUUCGAGACCAGCCUGGCCAACAUGGCAAAACCCGGUCUCUACUGAAAAAAAGCGAAAAUUAGCCGGGUGUGGUAGUGUGGGCCUGUAGUCCCAGCUACUCUGAACCCUGGAGGUGGAGGUUGCAGUGAACCAAGAUCGUGCCACCUCACUCCAGCCUGGGCCUCCUAGGCUCAAGUGAUUGUUGUGCCUCAACUACCUGAGUAGCUGGGAUGACAGGUGUGUGCCACCACUCCCAGCUAAUUUUUUUUUCUGUAUUUUUAGUAGAGAUGGAGUUUCACCAUGUCAGCCAGGCUAGUCUUGAACUCCUGGCCUCAAGUGAUCCAACUGCCCUGCCCUCCCAAAGUGCUGGGAUUACAGGUGUGAGCCACUGCAUCCAGCCAAGUUCUAUUCUUUUUUUUUUUUUUUUUGAGACGGAGUUUCGCUCGUGUUGCCCAGGCUGGAAUGUAGCGGCGCAAUCUUGGCUCACUGCAACCUCCACCUCCCAGGUUCAAGCGAUUCUCCUGCCUCAGCCUUCCAAGUAGCUGGGAUUACAGGCGUGGGCCACCAUGCCUGGCUAUUUUUGUAUUUUUAGUAGAGAGGGGGUUUCACCACGUUGGCCAGGCUGGUCUCGAACUCCUGACCUCGUGAUCUGCCCACCUAGCCUCCCAAAGUGCUGGGAUUACAGGCGUGAGCCACCGCAUCCAGCUUCUUGUUCUCUCUUUUAUAUAUAAGUGCCAUUUGCUGAAUCAGAAAACUUUUUGACAAGCAUAUUAAAAGAUUUCAGUUGUAUGUAGUAGCUCAUGCCUGUAAUCCCAACACUUUGGGAAACCAAGGUGGGGGGAUUGCUUGAGUCCAGGAGUUCAAGACCGGCCUGGGCAACAUAGUGAGACCCUGUGUCUACAAUUAAAAAAAAAAAGAAAAAAAAAGUGAGCCGGGCAUGAUGGUGCAUGCCUGUAGUCCCAACCACUCAUGAGACUGAGGUGGGACGAUCGCUUGAGCCCAGGAGGUUGAGGAUGCAGUGAGCUGUGUCACACCACUGGAUUCCAGCCUGGGUGACAGGGUGAGAUGUUGUCUCAAAUAAAAUAUUAAAAAUUGGAUCACCUUAUUCAGCAUUCUGUUGUUUAGCAGUUUUGGAAUUUUAGUUGUUAGUAAAUCUUGACCUUGAGUACACGUUAUUUUGAUAUUCUGUGUGACAAAAUGGGAAGUAUGCAUGAAGCACAUCUGCCAUAAAGUAUGGAUGUCUAGAUUUUUUUUUCCCUAGAAAAAGUAGUUACAAUUGUUUGAGAUACAAGCUGAACUAGCUGCUUGUUUUCACAGAACAUUUUUAGUUUGAAAAAACCUGACAAAUUGAUUAUUCAUAUUUUAGGGGUAAUUUUGGCAGAGAUUUGCUCAAAAAAGAACAAGUCAGCUUGGAAAAAACUGAUGGCAUUUGUUGCCAAUGAUAAAACUCAAGCUUCCAAAUGAAACCUAAAAUUUUGGAAGGCUUGUAUACACUUCUGUGCCCUUAUAGCUUCCUCAGACUUAGACUUUUGUAAUGGGAUUGGUGGUAAUAUUAAUUAAUGGUAUUUUGUUUUAGAUAUUGUAUAUCAAAAUGUGUCAACAUUUGGAAGAUUUGCAUAACUCAGUGAACCAAUAUUUUCCAAAUGAUCAAUCACUGGACUGGUGUUACAAAUAUCACACAUAGGUAAAAGUUCUAUUUAAAUACAAGGUACACCAAUGGACUUUAGAAAAGCUCAUCAAUACGAUUUCAGAAUCCACAUUGCAACUAGCCUUUAAGGAACUCUACUACUUGUCAUAUUUUGGUGUGGUAUCAAAGAGAGUAUCCAUAAUUAUCAGACAAAGCUAUUAAAAUACUCCUCCCUUUUCCAACUUUAUAUAUGAGUGGGGUCAGAUUUUCUUCACAGACUUCAACCAAAACAGCAUAUAACAACAGAUAGGAUACAGAAGCAGAUAUCAGAAUCUAGUGUCUUCUAUUAAGCCAGAAAUAAAAAAUAUUUGCAGAAAUAUAAAACAAUGUUACUCUUCUAUUUUUUUUUUGAAAAUAAUUAUUUUUAAAAUAAAAACAUGGCUGAGUGUGGUGGCUCACGCCUUUGUAAUCCCAGAACUUUGGGAGGCUGAGGCAGGCGGAUCACCUGAGGCCAGGAGCUUGAGACCAGCCUGGUCAACAUGGCAAAACCUCGUCUCUACUAAAAAUACAAAAAUUAACCAGGUGUGGUGGAGGGCACCUGUGGUCCCAACUACUCAGGAGGCUGAGGCAGGAAAACUGCCUGAACCCGGGAGGUGGAGGAUGAAGUGAGCCAAGAUCGCACCAUUGCACUCCAGCCUGGGCAACAGAGUGAGACUCUGUCUCAAAAUAAAAUAAAAUAAAAACAUGCUAUUUGUGUUAACAUGUAAUGGGUUAUUUUAAAAUGAAUUUAACAUUUUAAACUAAAUCAUUAAAUCAAUUAUUAAUUAAUUAAAUAGGAGGCUGAGGCAGGAGAAUCACUUGAACCCAGGAGGUGGAGGUUGCAGUGAGCCAAGAUGGUGCCACUGCACUCUAACCUGGGCAAAAGAGCGAGACUCUGUCUCAAAAAAAAAAAAGGUAUAAAUCAAAAGAAUUUCAAGGCAGAAGUGAAGACUGAGUAGAAGAAAACAAUUUCAAAAUCACUGAUCAAGACCUUGUUCUCAUUUUGUCUUUUUUUGAAAUGGAGUCUUGUUCUGUUGCCAGGCUGGAGUGCAGUGGUGUAACCUCGGCUCACUGCAAUCUCCACCUCCUGGGUUCAAGUGAUUCUCCUGCCUCAGCCUCCUGAGUAGCUGGGACUACAGGUAUGUGCCACCACACCCAGCUAAUUUUUGUAUUUUUAGUAGAGAUGGGGUUUCACCAUGUUGGCCAGGAUGGUCUCAGUCUCUUGACCUUGUGAUCUGUCUGCCUCAGCCUCCCAAAGUGCUGGGAUUAUAGGCGUGAGCCACUGUACCCGGCCUCAUUUUAUAAUUAUUAGUUUAUUAAAACUUUUAUGUGUAUGAUUAGAACUUAAAAUCACAAUGAGUUUUGGUGUUCACUUUUUCGCACAUUUGAGGUUAAUCUAAGGUUGAUUAGAAUUUUCAAUUACUUAUAAUUGAGAGAAAAUAGUGUUCAGUGAUUAAUAAUAUCUUUGUUGUCUUUUUUUUUUUGAGAUGGAGUCUUGCUCUGUCACCCAGGCUGGAGUGUAAUGGCACCAUCUUGGCUCACUGCAACCUCCAUCUCCCAGGUUCAAGCAAACCUCAUGCCUCAGCCUCCCGAGUGGCUGCGAUUACAGGCAUGCGCCACCAUGCCUGGCUAAUUUUUGUGUUUUUAGUAGAGACGGUUUCACUAUGUUGGCCAGGCUGGUGUUGAACUCCUGACCUCAAGUGAUCCACCCACCUCAAUCUCCCAAAGUGCUGGGAUUACAGGUGUGAGCCACCACUCCCGGCCAAUAAUAUCUUUAAAACUAAAAAAAAAAACAGAAAAU
rnacentral:lncRNA from 1 species